rnacentral:rRNA from 4 species
AACGACUCUCGGCAACGGAUAUCUCGGCUCACGCAUCGAUGAAGAACGUAGCAAAAUGCGAUACUUGGUGUGAAUUGCAGAAUCCCGUGAACCAUCGAGUUUUUGAACGCAAGUUGCGCCCGAAGCCAUCCGGUUGAGGGCACGCCUGCCUGGGCGUCACGCA